UACGGAGGGUGCGAGCGUUAUCCGGAAUCACUGGGUUUAAAGGGUGCGUAGGCGGCGAUGUAAGUCAGUUGUGAAAUUCCCCGGCUCAACCGGCGGGACUGCGAUUGAUACUGCGUUGCUUGAAUCGGGUUGAGGCAGGCGGAAUGUGGCAUGUAGCGGUGAAAUGCUUAGAUAUGCCAUAGAACACCGAUUGCGAAGGCAGCUUGCUGGGCCUUGAUUGACGCUGAGGCACGAAAGCGUGGGGAGCAAACAGG
rnacentral:rRNA from 1 species